rnacentral:SRP_RNA from 2 species
GGCUAGGUCCCGUACGAUAGAGUCUUUAGUGAAUCCCGCUAGGUCCGGAAGGAAGCAACGGUGUCUAAGGAACUAUGUGAUAUGGGGUGCCUAGCCGCU